rnacentral:snoRNA from 1 species
UUUCUAUGAUGAGAAACCUUCUAUUCAGUUCUGCUUCUGCAAAAUCAUUGAAGAAAAACCAUUUACCAAAAAUAACGAUCCUGAUAC